GGCUUGGCCUCAGUGGCAGUAUCAUAGCCAAUGAGGUUUGUCCAAGGCACGAUUAUUGCUAAUUGAAAAAUUUUCAUGACUAGUCCUCUGUUUAGGCACAAGUACUUGUUUGAGAAGAAAGAUUGGUUUUUGUUGUAUUCUCCAAAUUAUUUUCACAAGGCUUUUUUAACA
ensembl:snRNA U4 U4 spliceosomal RNA